rnacentral:rRNA from 1 species
AGUGAACGCUGGCGGUAGGCCUAACACAUGCAAGUCGAACGGCAGCACAGUAAGAGCUUGCUCUUACGGGUGGCGAGUGGCGGACGGGUGAGGAAUACAUCGGAAUCUACUUUUUCGUGGGGGAUAACGUAGGGAACUUACGCUAAUACCGCAUACGACCUACGGGUGAAAGCAGGGGAUCUUCGGACCUUGCGCGAUUGAAUGAGCCGAUGUCGGAUUAGCUAGUUGGCGGGGUAAAGGCCCACCAAGGCGACGAUCCGUAGCUGGUCUGAGAGGAUGAUCAGCCACACUGGAACUGAGACACGGUCUAGACUCCUACGGGAGGCAGCAGUGGGGAAUAUUGGACAAUGGGCGCAAGCCUGAUCCAGCCAUACCGCGUGGGUGAAGAAGGCCUUCGGGUUGUAAAGCCCUUUUGUUGGGAAAGAAAAGCAGCAGGUUAAUACCCCGCCGUUCUGACGGUACCCAAAGAAUAAGCACCGGCUAACUUCGUG